rnacentral:rRNA from 1 species
GAUGAACGCUGGCGGCGUGCUUAUCACAUGCAAGUCGAACGGGAAUGCUUCGCUGAUGCGAUUUCGGUCAAAUCUUGAAGCAUUUUAGUGGCGGACGGGUGAGUAACGCGUGGGUAACCUGCCCUGUACAGGGGGACAACAGUUGGAAACGACUGCUAAUACCGCAUAAGCGCACAGCUUCGCAUGAAGCAGUGUGAAAAACUCCGGUGGUACAGGACGGACCCGCGUCUGAUUAGAUAGUUGGUGAGGUAACGGCCCACCAAGUCAACGAUCAGUAGCCGGCCUGAGAGGGCGAACGGCCACAUUGGGACUGAGACACGGCCCAAACUCCUACGGGAGGCAGCAGUGGGGAAUAUUGCACAAUGGGGGAAACCCUGAUGCAGCGACGCCGCGUGAGUGAAGAAGUAUUUCGGUAUGUAAAGCUCUAUCAGCAGGGAAGAAAGACAUGACGGUACCUGACUAAGAAGCCCCGGCUAACUACGUGCCAGCCGCCGCCGUAA